UUUAAUACUGAGAUAUUUAAAAGAUGUUGCUUCGGGUAUUUCACAAUCCCCAAUCUUAAUGUUGCCAAGCCUUUGAAGGGAACUUCUUUGCAGAUUGCAAAAUAAAAUGGAAUUCAUUGCGAAAUUCAUAUGCACGACAGAUACGGGAAAUGAAAAAUACACCUAGUGGUGCAGCUUGUCCUAAAAAGAAGAAAUGGUACCUUUUUGAUGCUAUGUCAUUUUUAAAAGAUUUCAUGGGUCAACACAAAAAAACGAAGAGUAAUUAUCCUGAAACGUCAACUCUUACAGAAGAUGAUACGAAUGACAAUCUCACUGAAAGUAUUGAUCAUCCUGAAGACAGUAACAACUCCUAGCUUUCUGUCAUAUCCACGCCGAGACCCACGCCGACCUCCAAGCCUUCCAUCACACCCAAUCAAAAUCCACCCAAGAAGUUGAGAAAAAAAUGUGCGGCAGAGUUAGUAGCUGAACCAAUGGUUGAGUUUUUGAAAUCUAAAACGGGACAAAAAGACGAAUACAUUAAUAAUAGUGAUUUAAAUUUUUUCAAAAGUUUAAUACCCGACAUGCAAAAAUUAUCAAGCAAAAAACGUCGGCAAUUCAAGGCACAAGUUAUGCUAUCACUAAAUAGGUUCAUAGAUGAAGAAGAUGAUGAACGUGGCAGAAGUUCGUCUGUUAUACCAACACCACUAACAUCUCCUGCUUCCACGGAAAGCUAUAUGUUUAGUACUAAAAGAAACAUACAACCAAUGUCAGAUCAAAAUAGAGAGUUUUCUAUUUUCCCUAGUGAGGUUAAUAAUUAUGAAUACUUAUGAACAUAAUUAAAUAAACGUAAUGUACCUAAUAUUAUGUUGUAAAUAAAAGCUCACCUGAGUGUAAUCAA